rnacentral:lncRNA from 9 species
AUUUUCCUCUUGGCAUUUCAGUUUAGGAAGUUUCUACUGACUCAAUAAUUCAAGCUCACUAAUGCUUUCCUCAGCCACUGAUGAUCCCAUUAAAAGCACUCAUCACUUCAGUUACAGUGCUUUUUAUUUUAGCCUUUCCUUUUGAUUCAUUUCUGGAGCUUCCAUCUCUCUGCUUACAUUACCCAUUUAUUCUUUCGUGUUGUAUACUUUUUCCAUGAGAGCCUAUAACCCUUUGAAUCAUAGUUAUUUUAAAUUCUCUGUCUGAUAAUUUCAACAUUUGUGUCAUAUUGAAGUCUGGUUCUGAUGAUUGCUUUGUUUCUUCAGGCUGUUUUUUAGGCAUGCUUAUAACUUUUUGUUGAAAUCCAGACAUUCUGUGUCAGGUGAUAAGAAGUGAGAUACACUGAUCUUUAGAGAAUUGAGUUACGUUAAUCUGGAAAGGGGAUAUGUUUAAUGUUUGCUGUAUUCAUAAGGGCUAGGGGCUUCAAAUUCUUCUGUGUCCCUGUUUUUGUCUCAUUUACUGACUCUGAGCUUCCCUAAGUACUCCUCCUUAGAGAGAGUUUGUGUCUUGCAGGUCUUUCAGCUUUAGUCCAGUGUUAUUAUUUUUGAGUCUAGUUGUAGUGGUAAGAUAUAGGUGAAGGAUAGCACUCAAUUUUUCAAUUAAAUUGUCAUCUCUUAGGGGUCAUAUGUCUUGUGACUGUCACGUUUUCAGAUAUAUCACCAGCAGCAUAGCUUUUCCAACAGUAUAGCUACUGUUCCUAUUGAUUUCCUUGAGGCUCUGACUGCUGUUGAUUAUGUUUCCACCAUCCCAACUCCAUGGCUGAGACAGAAAUUCUAAAAAGGGAUUCAGUGGGAGAAAUUCCCUUCCCUUAGCUGGGAAAAAGGUCCAGAGACCAGGACUCUGUUAUGGAGAAGGCUCUGUCAUAUUCCAUGAUUACUCUCCUCUUUCACCUGCCAGAACCAUGAUGGAGGUGGGCUGUUGGGGAGGGAGGAGCUCUAUAAGAUCUUCACUGACAGACUCUGCUAGGGUUACUGGAAGCAAAGCUCAUAUAUUCCACCCCUCCCCGAAGUUUCUCACUCUCUCACUCACAUAUUAGCAAUUGAUAGAACAGUCACCUAUACAUUUUUUUUUUUUUUUUUUGCCUUUUCUAGGGCCACGGGAGUGGCAUACAGAGGUUCCCAGGCUAGGGGAAUGGCCCUAGAAAAGGCAAAAAGACAACAAACAAACAAACAAACAAAACAAAAAAACCGAUGGUAUCAGAAGCAGCAGUUAAUAACAGUAGUAAUAGUGGUACGGCUACUGAUGCUGUGGAAGACAUCUGCGUGUCAGGAACAAGGCCACAUGCUUCCUAUAGAUCCAUAUCGCUUGCUACCGAAUCCAGGUCUCUUUAGUUUCUGAGUUUUGGAUGAUGGGGGAAGUACCCUAUGACAAAACUUGAUCUGAAUUGAUACCAUCCUGAACACUCUCUCUCCAAAUUCUUAUUCUCGUUAAUUCUCACAAUUCUGUGAAACAGGUUUUAUUGUUCCUAUUUUAUAGUCAAUGAAACCAAACUCAACUAAAUAAAGGGAAUAUUCCUUUCUGAUAGGGAAAUGGUGGCUGGUAUUUAUCUGGGAAAUCCUAAGACUAAUGCACUUAGACAGAAUGAUGUUAUCUCUCAUCUUAUUCAGGACUCAGGGGAAGAUAAAAGACGUGGAAAGGUUUGUGCCUUUGAAACGUUUGUUAAGGGUUCCCAUCAUGGCUCAGCAAAAACGAAUCUGACUGGUAUCCAUGGGAACAUAGGUUCCAUCCCUGGCCUCCCUCAGUGGGUCGAAAGGAUCUGGUGUUGCUGUGAGCUGUGGUGUAGAUCGCAAACACGGCUUGGAUCCCGAGUUGCUGGGACUGUGGUGUAGGAUGGCAGCUACAGUUCUGAUUCAACCCCUAGCCUGGGAGCCUCCACAUGCCGCGGGUGUAGCCCUGAAAAAGAAAAGGCAGAAAAAAACAAAAAAAAAAAAACAAAAAAAACCUUUUGUUAAGAUCAUCUGAGAGAAAGAAGGCAGCAGGAUGGUUGGGAACCUUCAUUCUAAGAACUGCAGAGUCAUCUGUCUCUUUCCAAUUCCUAACCUUUCAGUCCCACAAGGGAUUGUGAAUCUAGGGGCUCACUCAGGAGCCACAGAAGCUUUGUGUCAUCACUUCCUUAGACUCCCCUAAUAAUGAAGAUAGUGAGAGAUUUCAUAAUUAAAGUCGACCUAAUUUGGGGGGGGCAUUGAGUUGUGGGGGUGAUAUUUAGAUGAAGAUAAAAUUAUAAAAUACAUAGAAUAGAAAUUGUAUAUAUAUGUGUGUGUAUAUACAUACACACACACAUACCCCCACACACACCCCAUAUCUUCUUAAUCCAUUCAUCUGUUGAUGGACAUUUAGGUUGUUUCCGUGUCUUGGCUAUUGUAAACAGUGCUGCAAUGAACACUGGGGUGCAUGGAUCUUUCCAAAUUAUCAUUUUCUCCAGAUAUAUACCAAAGGGUGGGAUUACUGGAUCACAUGGACUAUUUUUAGUAAAAUUUAAGAGAACUACACAGCCAUAAAAAGAAUGAAACACCUUUUGCAGCAACAUGGAUAGACUUAGAGAUUAGCAGAGAGAGAAAGAUAAUUAUCAUAUGAUAUUACUUAUAUGUGGAAUGAAAAAAAAAUGGACACAAAUGAACUUACAUACAAAGCAGAAAUACACCUACGACAUAGGAAACAAACUUACGGUUACUAAAGGGGAAAGGGGGGAGGGGCAAAUUACAGGAGUUUGGGAUUAACAUAUACACACCACUUUAUAGAAAAUAGAUAACCAACAAGGACCUACUACAUAGCACAGGGAACUAUACUCAAUAUUUUAUGAUGAACUACAGGGGAAAAGAAUCUGAAAAAGAAUGUGUGUGUGUGUGUGUUUGUGUGUGUGUAUAACUGAGUCACUUUGCUGUCUACCUGAAACUAACAUGACACUGUAAAUCAACUAUACUUCAAAAUAAAAAAAAAUAAAAUAAAUUAUAUAAAAUAUCAAAACAAUAUAACAGGAAGGCUUUUUAAAAGCUAACAUCUUCCAGGUACCCUAAAGUUGCUGAGAAUUUUGCCCAAUCCCUUGAACCCCAGAGAAGACCGUGGCAGUGAUGAAUUCUUCCAGAAAUCUCUGCAGACACCCCUGCUUCCAGGUCCACCUAGUCUGCUUCAUCAUCCUAUAGUCCUGGUUCUACAUCUCUUUGGUAGAUAUGAUUUGGACUAAUAACUGCCUUUCCUCUCUUUGGGGGCAUGUGGUAGACUAGGCUUCCCAGGAACUUUUGCAGUUAUGUGGGGCCAUAUGAUUAGCUCUGGUCAUGAAAUGUGAGAGGAAAUGGCAUAUCUCUUUCUUGGCCAAGGCAGUGAAAAGUCCACGCCCACCAGCAUCUCUUCCCCAGCUGCAAGCACUGAUCAGGCCACAUGGUCCAACCAGAUGGUGCAGCUCUGAGAUGGAAAAGCAGCCAUCAGUCUGUGUCCUUGAGUGACUGCGUGGAGCAGUUCUUUGAAAACCCAUGUCAGUUCUUUGAAAACCCAAUGUAAGGGGUUAGAAAUAAACUCUUAUCCUGAGCCAUUGAGAUUUGGGGGGUUAUUUGUUCCUGAAGCAUACUGUCGCAAUGCAGCCUCCAGUGAGUGGCAUAACUCUUGAUCUUGGACUCCAGUCAUCCUCUGCCUGGCCAUGCCGGAUCAGUGUCUUCCUGGAGAUAGCUCCUAUGAUUCCUGAACCUACCUUUGACCACAGCCACUGAGUUCAGUUCUCCUGAAACCCAUUUUCAUAACCAACAAUCAGUUCUCAGUGGCCGACCUGGCUACCCGAGGAGGCUGGGCAUUUUGUGAAGUUGGGUUUACUCUGGAGUUACUAAAUCCACCACCAAAGUGAAUCUGUGCUAUAAUUAACAUGCCAACUCCAAAAACCUUCUCAAGCUUUAGAUGGAGUUUGAGUCACAAAGCCUUCUGUUGUAUAAUAUGUAACAUGGUCAGCGAACCAGACAGCGUGUCUAUGAUACAUAAAUAGUAAGAUGGCUUUGAAAACCCAUCCUAUGGAGCAGAACAAGAGUCACACUAAAGUUUGUCGUGGGAGCAGUCUUCAGAAUCUCUAAUGAGAAGGCUUUGGGGAGAAAAGACACUCUUCCACCGUGUUUGUGGCAGUACAUAUUUUAUAUAUUUUAUAUGCAUUGUCCCCUGUCAAGGAGACAAGCUGCUACAUUACUCACAGGAUUAUGGCUAAAAGGAAAACACAAAAUUCUAAAAAUACAGCAUGGCUUUUAAAGGUUGCUUUUUGCAUAGUUUGUCUCUAGAUGCACUGGAAGAUUAGGCAUCAGAAGGGCUAACACUGUCCUCUCAAUACCCACCAGUGGAAUCAGACUCACACCUCUUAAAUCUCCACUCAAAGGAGGCAACAGAGGGCUCUUGACCACUUCAAAGCAGGGGUAGUGCUUCCAUCAGGACUUUUUUUGGAGGAGCAGUAUAACAAAGUGGGGUUCAGAGAUAAAAAAAACCCAGUAAGGUCACUACUGGCGCCUUACCUCCCAACACUAACUCUUUGGGGCCUGGCUUCAUUUCCUUCAAUAAUGCUUUCAUCAGUUUGAGCUGAAUUGAGAUAACCUAAUUCAACACCCCCAUUUUACAGAUGGGAGGCCUACAUAAGAAGAAAUAAAUCACGCAACGUCACAUAGCUAGUAAGGGACAGAGCUGGGAUAACAGCUCUUGCUCCUGUUUCACAGUCCCUUACCAGGUCAUAAUUUUUUCCCUAUGUUCGAAAUGUGUCCACACUCCAAAACAUGCAGAACACAGCCCCCAGAAGUGGUUAUCACUUGAGACAUGUUCAGGAAACUCCUCGAUUGCUAAUAUUUGUGGAAGGAACUUUAAUUGUGAUUUAAAGCAAAAAUGCCGUUGAAAAAGUAAACGUGGCCACCAUGAUAAAAAUUGUUCUAGCUCUUCCUGGGAGCAAGUUGAGGCAGAAAUCACCCCAGGAAAUAGCUAGCAAGCCAUGGGCACUUACUGUAUACACAGCUCCAUCGUAGAAGCUCCUGUGGGAAGAGAGGCAGGGGAGGAACAGGCUGAUUCCAGUACAGUUCAAUAAAGAAUCUGGCCUCUACCUUGGCUGCCUAGAGUGAUGGAAAGAUUCCACUGGAAUCACAGAGCCUGGAUUUGAAUUCUAGACGCACCUCCUGGCUAUACCACAUUGGGCUUGAGUUCUUGGAACCUCAGCUUCUUCACCCACAGUAUGGAACUAUAACAUCCUUCAUCUCAUAGGGCUGCUCUGAGCAUGAAGUCAGUGCUGGAGCCAAGAUCAUUGCUGGCUUGGAAUCUAGGUGGUCCUGAGCAGGCCCUGAAUUUGGAGGGCUGCAUUCAGAUCUUUGCUCUACUAUUUACUAGAUAUGUGACCUUCAACAAGUUACGUAAUGUUUCUGUACCUCAGUUUCCUAAUGGGUAAGAGAAGGGCAAUGAGGUUGUCGGGAGGAUAAUUUAUGUAGAGCUCUUAGCAGAGUGCCUGGAAUAGAGUAAGCACUCCAAAAACAGUGUUUGCAAUUAUUCUCAUUAUCAAUAAUCAAAAUGAGUCCUCUCUGUCGACCGAGGGACCUGAAUUAUUUGCCAAGCUUCGAUGACCCAAAUCGCCCACUUUGCUUUGCUGUGCCCGCUGCUCUUCUCAUCUGUUGUAAUAGGCUUAAUCGCCUUGUGUGAGGGAGUGAGGCCUCUCCUCCUGGCCCCUUUGAUGUGGGAGAGGAGCGCUGGCCUAGAUUCUUUCAAAGGGAGGCUUGGAGGGGCCCGGGGGCUGCUGGAAAGCAGGGGAGUCUGGUGUUGAGUGGAGGUGAUGAGAGCCUGGAACCCUGGUGGGAGGAAUGUGGGGUGAAGGGAGGUAAGGGGAUGUGGACUUGCAAAGGCCACGUUUCCUGCCAAGCAAAAGGAAUAUGAGAAGAGAGAUUUCCUAAACCUCUAGCAUGAAGACAGCUAAGGAGAAGCCCUCCACCUCUAUUCGCACUCUCCGAUGAAGAGGAUUCAAUUACACUAUUUGAUUCAUCAAUACCUCAGUAUUCAGCACUGAUUAAGUUGAGGGGUGGAAGACAAUUUUCCCCUUGGUCUCAAGAGAGAGCAAUCGUACAUGGCAAGAGCAAUGGCACUUGAAAUUAAUUAAAGGAGCGUCUCAUUUUUCUAGUGGAAUGAAGUUUUUGACUUUUAAGGGCUCCAAGAGGAUGAACUGUUUUGCUCCAGGCAGAAUGCAGAACUGGAAUUAAAAUGCAAACCAGGUGGCAGACCUCAAAGCAGCAAACUUUAGUUUCCUAGGCUGGGGCCUUCUCAUCUCAGGCAUAUCAUAGCUUCAUUUGAUUUUAUUACAUGAAUAUACCCCAUCCUUGGCACACAUGUACAUACAGAUAUGAUCUCCUCAACACAAAUACACACACACACACACACACUUUGCUAUGCUCACACCUGCACAGAUAUGCAUUCUUGGUUUAUCUUGCAAUGAAUAAACUAUUUAUGGAGCAACCCUUCCAAAGUCUGAAAUCCUGGAUUUCAAAAGCCACAGAGGAAAGGAGCAGACAAAAGUUUCAGGGCCACUGUCAGAAUGGACGGUUGCAACCCUUUCCCAGAACCAGCAUCACUCAAGGCCAUGACCAUGGUCAAGGAGAUUUGCAGCUCUGGCCUUGCUCUUCUGGCAAGGCCACCCUGGCAAGCUGGCUCUCCCUGGCAUUGGCACUCUGGUUUCUAGGUCUUGGGGGUCCAGCCUUGGUGGGACUGGGGGGCAUCAGCUCCUACACAAGGCUGAGGUGCUGUCUACACCUUGACCUUCUCUAGGAACAGGGCAAUCAAUUUCCUAAGCAGCAGGACCAGCUAGAAGAGAGCGCUGCAUUUAAACCUGCAAUCAAUGCCAAUCAAGUGCUUGGUUGAGAAGUGGAUUAUAUCCCUAAAAAUAUGGGAAUAAAUAAUACAGCCUGUGAGAGGAAGCGCCAACUCCCUGGGCCACGUGGGUUAGAAAUGAAUCCAGCUGUGGUUUUUCUUUCCUGUCCAGACCAUUUUAAGAAUAAGGCAGUGCCAGACUUCGUAUAGAGCUUCUGGUGGCUUUGGCUGACAGUAACCUCUAACUCUUCAUUUUGCCACCUUAGAACAGUGAUUCCAAAUAGCUGGCCUCAACUAUACCCAUACCACCCUGAAUGCAUCUGAUCUCAUCAGAUCUGGGAAGCUAAGCAGGGCCGGUCCUGGUUAGUACUUGGAUGGGAGACCAAAAGGCUGGACUCUGGACCAUUGUGCAUUUAGGAGGGAGGUUACACUAGUCAGUUUUCACCAUUAAUAGCAAAUAGAGGAAAAUGAGGACACUGCUGUGAGUUUUUCAUACAGCUAAUUCAAUUUAGUAGAAGGGACUGUCCUUUUUCUCAAGAUUAGGCUUUUUUGGUCUUUUUGUUUGUUUUUGGUAAUCAAGAGUCCUUUAUAAAAUGAAAGGAAUGUGAUAUUAAGUUUUAAUUAGGUCUUCUUUUUUAAUAGCUUUUUUUUGACUGCCCAAACUAAAAGUUGACAAUCCACUAACAAUUCACUUUUUUUGUUCUUUUAGAGUUUUUAAUUUAUUAGUAAAUGCCAAAUUUAGGGAAUCUUUAUGAAUCAUCAGGCCAAAUCUAGCCCAACAGUUCUCACUUUGAAGGCACAUCAGAAUCGCUUGGAGGGUCUGUUAAGACAGAGGUUGCUGGCCCCAGCCCCAGAGGUUCAGGUUCAGCAGGUCUAGUUCAGCUGCUGAUGCUGCUGCUAAUGGUCCAAGGACCACACUGGGAGAACCACUGGUCUAGCCUCUCCAUGGUGGGAUGAGGAAGGCUUUCUGGGACCUGAAGGGAGGCUCCUGACCACAGGCAGAGGUCUGCGAUGCCCUCACUUCGGGGAUGCAUAGACACGGCCCAGACUCCACGGCCCUGGAUUUCAGAUUUCUUUCUUUUCCUAUUAACUGUGCUAAUACCGUGGGCUGAGGAGGCAGUGCUUCCAUGAAAGGAAAUCAGAUUACUUUCUGAACCAAAUGACUACAAAGACCAGACUGUCCCAUUUUUCAGCUGCUGGAAGCGAGAACCUUCCAGGCUGUCUAUCUGAGAUGUCAGCGCAGAGUCUGAGUGUGUCGGGAAUUUGCCUCGUGGUGUAUUUUCCCGUGUGAUGGCCAUGAGCUGCAGGGAAGACAGUCCAGAUUUG